rnacentral:rRNA from 1 species
UGCCAGCAGCCGCGGUAAUACAGAGGGUGCGAGCGUUAAUCGGAAUUACUGGGCGUAAAGGGCGCGUAGGCGGCCUGAUAAGUCGGAUGUGAAAGCCCCGGGCUUAACCUGGGAAUUGCAUACGAUACUGUCAGGCUAGAGUAUGGUAGAGGAAAGCGGAAUUCCGGGUGUAGCGGUGAAAUGCGUAGAUAUCCGGAGGAACAUCAGUGGCGAAGGCGGCUUUCUGGACCGAUACUGACGCUGAGACGCGAAAGCGUGGGGAGCAAACAGGAUUAGAUA